UACGUGGGGGGCAAGCGUUGUUCGGAAUUACUGGGCGUAAAGGGCUCGUAGGCGGCCAACUAAGUCGGAUGUGAAAUCCCCAGGCUUAACCUGGGAAUUGCAUCCGAUACUGGAUGGCUUGAGUUUGGGAGAGGGAUGCGGAAUUCCAGGUGUAGCGGUGAAAUGCGUAGAUAUCUGGAGGAACACCGGUGGCGAAGGCGGCAUCCUGGACCAACACUGACGCUGAGGAGCGAAAGCCAGGGGAGCAAACGGG
rnacentral:rRNA from 1 species